UGAAUCACCACUGUGCCUGUAUCAUACCGCC
rnacentral:piRNA from 1 species